rnacentral:rRNA from 1 species
GACGAACGCUGGCGGCGUGCUUAACACAUGCAAGUCGAACGGAAAGGCCCUGCUUUUGUGGGGUGCUCGAGUGGCGAACGGGUGAGUAACACGUGAGUAACCUGCCCUUGACUUUGGGAUAACUUCAGGAAACUGGGGCUAAUACCGGAUAGGAGCUCCUGCUGCAUGGUGGGGGUUGGAAAGUUUCGGCGGUUGGGGAUGGACUCGCGGCUUAUCAGCUUGUUGGUGGGGUAGUGGCUUACCAAGGCUUUGACGGGUAGCCGGUCUGAGAGGGUGACCGGCCACAUUGGGACUGAGAUACGGCCCAGACUCCUACGGGAGGCAGCAGUGGGGAAUAUUGCACAAUGGGCGGAAGCCUGAUGCAGCAACGCCGCGUGCGGGAUGACGGCCUUCGGGUUGUAAACCGCUUUCGCCAGUGACGAAGCGUGAGUGACGGUAAUGGGUAAAGAAGCACCGGCUAACUACGUG